rnacentral:tRNA from 1 species
GGGGCUAUAGCUCAGCUGGGAGAGCGCCUGCUUUGCACGCAGGAGGUCUGCGGUUCGAUCCCGCAUAGCUCCACCG